GAGUUUGAUCUUGGCUCAGAUUGAACGCUGGCGGCAUGCCUUACACAUGCAAGUCGAACGGCAGCACGGGAGCUUGCUCCUGGUGGCGAGUGGCGAACGGGUGAGUAAUGCAUCGGAACGUAUCCUGGAGUGGGGGAUAACGUAGCGAAAGUUACGCUAAUACCGCAUAUUCUGUGAGCAGGAAAGCGGGGGACCUUCGGGCCUCGCGCUCUUGGAGCGGCCGAUGUCGGAUUAGCUAGUUGGUGAGGUAAAGGCUCACCAAGGCGACGAUCCGUAGCAGGUCUGAGAGGAUGAUCUGCCACACUGGAACUGAGACACGGUCCAGACUCCUACGGGAGGCAGCAGUGGGGAAUUUUGGACAAUGGGGGCAACCCUGAUCCAGCCAUGCCGCGUGAGUGAAGAAGGCCUCGGUUGUAAGUAC
rnacentral:rRNA from 6 species